rnacentral:rRNA from 1 species
GAUGAACGCUGGCGGCGUGCCUAACACAUGCAAGUCGAACGGAGUCCAGCCUUUUAGACCUUCGGGUCAAAGAGGGGAAGACUGAGUGACGGACGGGUGAGUAACACGUGGGCAACCUGGCUCAUCGAGGGGGUGAACAGAGAGAAAUUUCUGCUAAUCCCGCAUAGGCACACACUGCCGCAUGGCCGAGUGUGAAGAGAGAACCGCUAUGAGAUGGACCUGCGUCUGAUUAGCCAGUUGGCAGGGGAAGAGCCUACCAAAGCGACGAACAGUAGCCGAGAUGAGGAGAUGACAGACCACAUUGGGAAUGAGACACGGCCCAAAAUGCUAGGGGAGGGAGCAGUGGGGGAUAUAGCGGAAGGGAGGGAACUGUGAUGAAGCGACGCCGGGGAAGUGAGGAUGUAUUUCGGUAUGUAAAGCCCUCUCAGCAGAGAAGUUAAUGACAGUACCGGGAUAAGAAGCCCCGGCUAACUACGUG